UAACUCAGCUCAGUCGGUAGAGCAUGAGACUCUUAAUCUCAGUCAUGGGUUCAAGUUCCACACUGGGUCAAAA